UGGAGUUACCUAUACACACCCAUCUACACACUAGCCUAUAAACACUAGUUGAGAAAAUAAGUAACGUAGCUUAUACUUUGUUUCAUUCAUUUGCAACUUGUAUUUAAGCUCACACGUACUACAAAAUUCUAGUGAAUUCUUUUAUUGGCUGGGUAACCAUUCCCACCCGCGGUUUUUACCUUUUUACGGGGUUUUCCGCGUCACCAAAAUUGCUUGUGUUCUCGUCUCUUAUUUUCUUUUCGAUAUUUUUCAUUCGAUCUUUUAAGUAUUCAUACAUAAAAACACAUACUCCAUUGUUAUAGAAAUUAAAUAGGCUUGGCUUUUAACCCUGCAAAUUUUGGUAAAAACAGAAAUCUGGAAAUAGGUGUUGCCACAAUUACUUUAGCAUCACCAUUGUGAAUAGAUUGUUCACCUCUUGAAUAUCCCAUUUCUUUUCACCAGGGGUGAAUAAAUCAAAUACUUUAACUACAGCUGAUCGGUUAGUAUUUGUACUAUCCACUUUAAAAUCAGCUUUCCCUCUUAGCCAUGCAUCCUCAAAAACUCUAAUUUCCUUCCCAUCCCCAAGAACUCAUCUAAGCCCCUGUUUCAAAACCUCAAUGGCUUGCCAUAAUCCAGACCAGAUAUGGCUCCCCACGCGUUGCUUCAGAAAGAGAACUGAUUUGGAAAAAAUCUGGCCUUAUAGAUACGUGCAACUUAUAAUUCUGUCGGAUUAAAAAAUAUCCAUUUUACCUUCUUCCAUAAAUACAGGUUUUAAAUAAUUUUGUGUUAGUGGCACCAAAUCCAGGGGCGGAUGCACAGUAGCUUGAGUGGGUGGACAGGACCCCACUCAGUUUGGACUUAACACCCUCAAAGAAAAUUAAAAACUCACAAUUCAUUGCAUUUUUAAAAACCAAACUCAAAACUAAUUGUUAACAUAGAAAUAAUUUAACAAACAAAAGAUGUUUUUUCCUAAUAGAAGAAACUCACCGUAAUUAAAGCUUUAAUGACAAUGUUCUAUGCCUGACCGGUGACUCACGGUUAUAUAUUUUGUUAAGUAUUAUCAUAUGCAUUUUAUAUAAGGAACCCACUGAAAUAUAUUCCUGGAUCCGCCACUGACCAAAUCUAUAUCUCCGGAUUUGAGCGAUUACAGUGCUGCUUUUCCCGCACUUCAUAAACACUUCACACUCCACCCCUGAAUUCUUUCCCAAAUUCGAUCUCCAAGAAAUUUAAAAAUCGAUUUCAAGCAAUGUAUACUCCUGAAACGAGAAAUCAGCUAAUAACUCGUUAUUCUGCUCAUCUGAGAGAAUACAGAGUCACCAGCUUCUACCUCCAUAUCUUUCUCCCUCACCCCCUCAUCAAAAAGCUUCAAAAAAUAAUCCUUUACUAUCUGACACAUCGAUCUCCUCAUGACCGUCACCAACUCCCCAUCGUUGUGUUUCAGCUUCAUAACGUGAUCUAAUUCCUUCAUUGUUGUUGCAUAAGCGUGAAAGUGUUAAUUUUACGGAUAAUUUCAGUUUUAGCUAUUUUUGUUUUUGUUCAUUGCUUACUGUCAACAUUGUAAAAGCAAUGGUGGAGGAAGCUUUUGAGAGAGAAAACUCAAACAUUGUAUAUACAGCUAAGAAUGUUUUGUUACAAGUUGUGUCAAUCUGUACAAGCAAAAGACAUUUUAUACUAGUCACUAGCUUCUAACUUUGGGCGGGAAAAGUUGUUACAUCCACCCACUACUAGUCUAACUAAUUAAUCAUUACUUAAUAACUUAAUUAUUCAAGUAAUAUUCCCUACCCCCCCCCCUCAAGUUAGAGGGUGAGGAACUCACACCUAACUUGCCAAGUAUAGCAUGAUGCUGUAGACCAGUGAGGGGUUUGGUAAAGACAUCUGCGAGCUGGAGCUUGGAAGGAACAUAGCUCAGAGAAAUUAAGCCAGAACUGAGCUUUUCCCGAACAAAAUGGCAGUCAAUGUCUAUAUGCUUCGUUCUCUCGUGAUAUACAGGAUUUUUAGCAAUAUAAAUUGCUACCUGAUCAUCACAUUUAACAGGUAUAGGAAGUAUGUCUGAAACAGUGAGUUCAGAUAACAAUCUGGAAAGCCAAGCUAAUUCUGCAGUGAUACGCCUGAGAGAUCUGUACUCAGCUUCAGCUGAGGACAAGGAAACUGUGUGCUUUCUUUGAUUUCCAGGAGACAAUACUGUUACCAACCAUGAUCACAAAGCCACUUACAGAUUUCCUGGUGUGGGAGCAAGCUGCCCAGUCAGCAUCACAAUAACCUUGAAUAGAGUAGGAAGGUGAAUUGCUAAAAAAUAAUCCUUGUGCAGGAUUGUUUUUAAGAUAUCUCAGAACAUGUAGAGCAGCAUUCCAGUGAGGUUCUCGUGGAUCACUCAUGAACUGACUAAGGUGCUGUACUGGAAAACUAAGAUCAAAUCUGGUAUUGGUGAGAAAAUUUAGUUUACCAACUAAUUUCCUGUAUUCACCAGGGUCAUCUAAAGGAACACCUUCCCCAUGAAGAAUCUUAGCAUUAAGGUCUAAUGGGGCUAUAACAGGUGUAGAAUCUGGAGUAUCAUAUUCAACUAGCAAUUCUUGAGUGAAUUUCUUCUGUGAUAGAAUAAUGCCAUCAGGUACUGAUGUGAAUUCAAUACCAAGAAAGUAAUGUAGAGAUCCCAGAUCUUUGAUUUUGAAGGUGGAAUCAAGAAACUGUUUGACAGUAGUAAUCUCAGACAUAUCAUUUCCAACCAACAAAAUAUCAUCAACAUAGACAGCCAGAAAGACCACAGAAGUACCAUUUUUCUUAUAGAACAGAGAGUAAUCAUUCUUGGAAGUGGCAUAACCUUUUGAAAGCAGUGUAGAAUGUAGUUUAGCAUGCCAUUCCCUAGAUGCUUGUCUCAAACCAUAGAGAGAUUUUAAGAGUUUGCAGACCAAAUUGGGAUGAGAAAGAUUAAGGCCAGGUGGUGGUUUCAUAUAGAUAUCUUCAUGUAAAUCACCAUGAAGGAAAGCGUUAUUCACAUCAAGCUGAGACAUAUGCCAGCCUUUUUUAACAGCCACAGCAACUAAUGUUCUGAUUGUAGUCAUUUUAACUACUGGAGAGAAUGUUUCAGUGAAAUCUAUGCCUUGCUUUUGAGUAAACCCUUUAACAACCAAUCGUGCUUUAUAUCUCUCAAUGGAGCCAUCAGCAUGUUGCUUGACUUUGAAAACCCAUCUACAAGAUAUAGCCUUUUUCUUAGGAGGGAGAGGUACCAAAUCCCAGGUUUUGUUAGCUUCUAAUGUUGAGAAUUCAGCAGCAAUAGCUUGUCUCCAUUCAGGAAACUGGAUUGCCUCUUCAUAAGAAAUUGGAUCAGAUGGAGGAAGUUUAAUAUCAGGUAUGACAGAACAGCAAGUAGAAUCUUCUGACUGAUGGAUAGAAGGUGUGCAGAGUGAAGUGAGAGUACAGGCACAAGUAAUAUUCCCACAUUGAGAUUCUGUAUAAGGAUGAACAUAGUCAUUAAGGUAAGAAGGGAGUUUGGUAUGUCUCUCAGAUUUUCUGAGAACAGGUUCAAGAUGAGGAGAUGGUGUUUCAGCAGUGGUGGAAUCAUGUGGAUUCUAGGAAGAAUCCUGAGAAUUCUGUGAAGAAGCCUGUGGAGAAUGCAAUGAAUUUUGUGGAGAAUUCAUUGAAUUCUGGGGAGAAGGAGAAUUUUGUGUAGAAAUGGGCUGUGAUGAUGCUGAUUCAGGAACAGAUGUAGGAAUACAAUGAGGUGAAGGAAUGGACACAAGUGGAAAGAUAUUCUCAUGAAAAGAGGCAUCUCUUGAAAUUAUAAUGGCAUUUGUUUCUAAAUUGAGAAAUUUGUAGGCCUUUUUCCCAUAUGGAUAUCCCAGAAAUAUACAAGGAGAAGCCCUUGGUGAAAACUUGUUUCUGUGUACAGCUAAUGUAGAUACAAAACUUAGACAACCAAAAGGUCUAAGAUGAAGAUAAGAUGGUUUCUUAUCAAACAAAACUUCAUAAGGAGAACAACCAUGAAGAACUGUAGAGGGAAAUCUAUUAAUCAAAUAAGUUGCUGUCAAGACACAAUCACCCCAGAAUUGAAUGGGGAGAUUGGACUGAAAUAGAAGAGCCCUGGAAGUCUCUAACAAGUGUUUGUGUUUACGUUCCACAACUCCAUUUUGUUGUGGAGUGUAGACACAAGAAGUUUGGUGUAUAAAGCCUUUUUCCAGAAAAUAAGCAGAAGAAGUAGGUGAAGAACCUAAUUCUAAGGCAUUGUCACUUCUAACUGUUUGAACUACAGUAGAGAACUGAGUCUCAACCAUUGCAAUGAAGUAUUUGAGAAAGGUGAAGGCAUUACUUUUACUGCUUAAUAAGUAAGUCCAAGUUACUCUAGAAAAAUCAUCUACAAUGGUGAGAAAGUAUUUAUACUUGUUGUAUGUAGCAACAAAAUAGGGUCCCCAUAUAUCAAUGUGUAUAAGCUCAAAGCAUUUAGUAGAAUGAAUUGAACUAUGAGGAAAUGGAAGUCUGUGCUUUCUAGCUUUAGCACAAAUAGUACAGGAUUCAAGAGAUUGUUUAUCAAGAUUAUUACACAAGGAAAGUGUCUUCAAUUUAUACAAAGGCAAGUGUCCUAACCUUGAAUGCCAAACUGAAACAGAAACACUAUUACAAGCAAUAGAAGAAUUAUUAACACUGGGAAGAGAUGAUGUCUCCAAGGAAGAAGGAGCAUCAUGAUGGAAAAGGUAUAAGCCCUUCUGAAGAUUACCAAGUACCAGAGGCAUCUUCAGAGAAGAGCCCUGCAAGAAACAAUUAGAAUGAGAAAAGCUAAUUGUGCAUUGCAGUUGUGCAGCCAAUCUUGGUACAGAUAGAAGAUUAAGUUUGAAAUCAGGCACAUAAAGAACAUUGUGCAAGAUGAUGUCAUGUGUGAUAGGAACAGAACCAACAUGAGUGAUAAAGAUGUUAUGACCAGUAGGUAGUGAAACAUUAAUGGAUUUAGGCAGAAGAGUGAGAUUAGAAAAUAAAGACUUAUGAGCACACAUAUGAUCACUAGCUCCACUGUCAAUUAUCCAAGUAAUGUAAUUAGUAGUAGUGAAGCAGGCAGUAUGAAUGGAGUUACCAGCAAAGUUUGCAGCAGAAGGAGGUUGUUCUGAAGUCUGAGCAGUGUUGAGCAAAUUCAUUAGUUGAGAGUAAACUUCAGGUGACAGAGUGCCAGAUGUGCCAACAGAUCCUGAAUUGCUAUUAGUGCUGAGAGAUGAAUGUGAAGCAACAGAAGAUGGAGAAGGACUCCUGUCAGAAACUUCUGCCUGAGCUGCAAACCUUUUGCCUUUGGUGAACUUAAAAUCAGCUGAAAAACCAUGUAGUUUGUAACAUUUGUCAAUGAGAUGUCCUGGUUUCUUGCAAUAGUUGCACUGAAGAUUAGACUUCCUGGAGUCAGCACCAGGCCUUUUAGCAGAAGAAGGAUAAGAGCCUGAAGUGCCAGAGUGAACAGCCAGAGAAGCAGCUUCUGUCAUGAAAUUAGAUCCAGAAUGAAUCUCUCUCUGAGCUUCUUCUUGAAGCAAGAUGUUAUAUGUCUGACUCAGGUUAGGAAGAGGAGAUUUCAUCAAGAUUGAGCUUCUCAUAAUGGUGUAAGUGUCAUUCAAUCCCAUUAGGAACUGAAUGACUUUCUGAUCAUGAUGAUGCUUAGAGAUAUGGCUAGCUGCACCACAAGAACAAACAGGUGCCAAUCGGAGAGAUUCCAGAUCAUCCCAAAGCACCUUGAGUUUGGUAAAGUAAUCUGCAAUAGUGUCAUUGCCUUGAGAGAGUUCAUUGAUUGACUUGUGUAGACCAAACAACUGAGCACCAUUACCAACAGCAUAACGUUCCUCUAAUUCAGCCCACAUCUGAUGUGCAGUGGUGCAAUAGAUGACACUACGACCAAUAGAUUUGGAAAGAGCACCAAGAAUCCAAGAAAUAACCAUGUCAUUACACCUAGACCAGCUAGUAAAAGAAGGAGAUGAAGGAUCUGGUCGAGGUAGGGUUCCAGUGACAAAACCUAACUUAUUUCUUGCAGAUAGAGCAAUUGUCAUGGACCGUUUCCAAUUACUGUAACCAGUUCCAUCAAAGACAUCACUAACAAGCUUCAUACCAGGACUAUCAGAAUUUUGCAAGAACAGAGGAUUAUCAUGUUGAGAGUUUGUGAGAGGUUCGUAUUGGAACGAAUCGUGAAUAGUGUGUGAAUCGGAACCACUAGCCAUUGGAGAAUCAGUAGAUUCUAACGAAUAAGCAACUAAUAAGCAGAGAAAUGUAAAUGUUGGAGCAGAGAUUGCAAUUAGGGUUUACAAUCAGAGAUGUGAAAUACCGAACGAUGGAGAGAUGGAUUGAGCGAGAGAGAGAUUACCAGAAGAGAUAAUCGAAGAGAGAUUACCGUCAGAGUGACGGAGAGAAGCGGAGGAGAUGACGGAGAUCACGUUUCCAUGCUCUGAUACCAUGUCAACAUUGUAAAAGCAAUGGAGGAGGAAGCUUUUGAGAGAGAAAACUCAAACAUUGUAUAUACAGCUAAGAAUGUUUUGUUACAAGUUGUGUCAAUCUGUACAAGCAAAAGACAUUUUAUACUAGUCACUAGCUUCUAACUUUGGGCGGGAAAAGUUGUUACAUCCACCCACUACUAGUCUAACUAAUUAAUCAUUACUUAAUAACUUAAUUAUUCAAGUAAUAUUCCCUACACUUACAUUUGCUGAAUAAUGAGUAUAGAAAGAAAUUGAUAUUAUUUAAAUGCGAUGUUGGGUGUUGCAUCAAAUGAUGUAUAAAUAUUUUUGGUUCAAAGCGUAGAUCAACAUAUAUUUUACCUGCAUGAAAAUUAUUAACAAAUAAAUUUAAGUCGGGAAAAUUGUUCAAAAUUCAUUAAAAUCCGAUGAUAUUUAAAUGCUAUGGAAUUUUUUGGACUUCAUAAAAUGAUUGAGUUUGUUAGAUUGUUCAAUGUAUUUUAAGAUUUUUGAAUCCCACCGAAAUCAAUGAGAUUUUUAAGCAUUGUGUAUAUAUCCUAAAAACUCUCAUCAACUCUACAACAUUUUAUCUAUAAUCCGCAUAAAACCAAAAUUAGAUAAAAUCCAGUAAAGUCCAUAAAAUCUCAGCCGAAUACAUCCUCUUAGAGCAUCUCUAAUAAGAUUUGAUUAUAAUCGUCGGCUAAAUUGGACAGUAAGUCAUUGUGUAAAAUAAACUGAACUCGUAAGACAUUGUGCUUUUGGCUAUAUUGGUCAGUUAUAAUUUAAAAAUAGUAUAUUACUCAUAUUUUAGAUUGUUAUAAUUAGAAUAUAUCGGUCCAAUAUAAUAAUAAAUGAUGUAUAAUUUUUAUACAAAUUUUCUAGAGACUUGCAGAGGUUCGACAAAUAUAAUCAUACAUACGAGGUUGACUAAAACUAUAGAUAAGAGGUGAGAAUAGUUGGUGUGUGAUAUUUUAAAGACAGUAACUAUAUUUUUUCACAUUAGUAUAACAAUUCACUAUUUUAGUUAAAAUUUUAUAAUGAUUGGAGUUGCUAUUAGAUAAGUUUGUUAAUUUUAGACGUGUAAUUUAAAAUGUAUUGACCAUUUAAUUUCAUAUUUUAGUUUUCUCAAAAAUAUUAUUUUAUAAAUUUUUUUCAUAUUUAACCUUUUUUAUAAAUGUAAAAUUUUAAAAAUAAAUCAUAUAAUUAUGCGAGUCAAUAAAACUUAAAUUAUGUGUUCAAGUCAUCCAUUUUAUCUACUUUGAAAUUAACCAUUUUAUCUUUGAAAUGGAGAGAGCAUGUACUGGUUGUUAGCUCUCGUGCUUCUUGCCAAAAUAUUUGUUAGGAAGUUACCCGCUGGUUGACUCAAAGAACAUUAUCCGUAGAAUUUAAAGAGGUUUAUACCCGUAAACUACGAAGCAAAUAUUAUGCGUGCAGAAUUUCCAACAUGAGUAAAUUCUGUGGAGACUUAGAACAAGUCUGCGACGACGUUACUAAACUAUACGUAGCUUCUGAAAUAUAUGCAUUUUUAUUAAACUUUUAUAGUAGAUUCCCUCCUUUUUCUGAAUCUGUUGAGUGUAUAUUUUGUUAAAACAAUAGUCAAGUGAAUGCAUAGUUGCGCAAUUGAGCAUGAAAAAAGGAUGACAUACAAGGCAUUAUAUAUAUAUAUAUAUAUAUAUAUAUAUAUAUAUAUAUAUAUAUANAUAAAUGAAAAUGUCAAAAGAGAAUUAUCAUUUAUUUGCUUGACAAGAUUUCUUUAAUCACCACAAGGGAAAAAAAGAGAAAAAUAACACCUAAACAUCAUUUUAUUAUAAAAAAUGGGAAAGUAUAACGAAAAAUCUUUUAAAAUGUGAGGAAAGUACCACGCACGAACCUCUCAUCAAUAAAAUAAUAACUUUCAAGUCUAUAUCACAACAGACGAAAAGAUAUAACAUUUUUUAAAUUAAAAAAUGUGAGGAAAGUAUCAAGUAAGAACCUCCCACCAAUAAAAUAACUAAUGAUUCCUGUGGAACAUACCAAGAAACUUCACAAACGAACAAUUUGUAUUUCGUUUAUACUUCUCUCACCUCAUCUUGUAAAAGUAUCCAAUUCCACAGUUUUAUAUAAACAACUUUUUCGCUAUUUUAAGCUUUAACACUUUAAAGAUAAUAAAAAGUUGAGACGAAUAUAUGCUGCAAUGCUGGGUGACACCAGAUAUGGAUUUUACACGUAUUUCCAUAUCGAUAACAAUCGAAUAUCUCUUUCUUUCCCCGAGAAAUAACAAUCGAGUAGCUUAACAACAAAGGAAAUUUGUUAAUUACUUCACUAACAAUUAAUUAAAUUCCCACGUCUCGUACUCAUAAUCGAUGACGCAUACAGACGCGGUACAGAUUACGUGUUAGCAUUUCAUCACUUAAUUAAAUAAUUAAUUUUACAUGGAUGCGAAGUUUCUCAGAAAUAAACCUUGCUUCGGUUUCUGUUUCGAUUUAAUUUGAAGCUUCACCGCUAUAUAUGUAACGUUACGAAUCGUAAUAUCAACCAAUAAGCUCAAACAAAAAACUGAAUAUCAUUCGUUCUGAUAAUUAAAGUUAUUAUUUGUCUGAUAGUCUCCAUUGAUUCUUCAAUUUCUUCCAAGUUCUAACGCUUUGUGUUUGUUCUGUUCUCUGUAAAACAAAUAAACAAGCAUCUUUUUUUUUUUUUUUUUUUACUGCGAGUUUAGUAAAAUGUCUGCUAUACUUGAUUUAAAUCUUGGCUGCAUGGACUCGAUAAUGCAGCUCAAGUCCAUCACUAACCUUAGUAGAAAAAGAUGGCACUUGGCUUUUGCAGCUAUCUACUCUUCAAGAGCCUUUUCUCAUCUCAAAAGAUCAUCGAAAUCUCGUAGAUAUGAUCCAGUUCCGAAGGAAAAUAGUGCUGUGGAUAUUUUUCCACUGUCUUUUGGUAAUGUGAGCCAGUCUAGCCUCAAGCGAUUGGUCAAGGAUAAGGACCUGGAGCACCCGGAGAGUCUCGGUGGUGUAGAGGGCUUGGUUUCCGCUCUUGAAACAGAUAUGGAGAAUGGUAUUCAUGCAGAUUCUGAUGAUAUUUCGCGAAGACAGGAGGCCUUUGGGGUUAAUACGUAUCCCAGGAUGCCUGCGAAGAGUUUCUUUAGCUUUGUUGUGGAAGCAUUGAAAGAUCCAACCAUUCUCAUUCUCCUAGUGUGUGCUGCGCUUUCUCUUGGUUUUGGAAUGAAAGAAGAUGGACCGAAAGAGGGGUGGUACGACGGUGGGAGUAUAUUUGUUGCAGUUUUUCUAGUGAUAUCAGUCUCUGCAAUUAGUAAUUUCAGGCAGAGCAGACAAUUUGACAAGUUGUCGAAGGUCAGCAAUAAUAUUCAGGUGGAGGUUGUUAGGAAAGGCAGGCGUCAACAGAUUUCAGUCUUUGAUAUUGUCGUGGGAGAUGUCGUUUGCUUGAAGAUUGGUGAUCAAGUGCCUGCAGAUGGACUUUUUGUCGAGGGUCAUUCUCUACAGAUUGACGAAGCAAGCAUGACAGGGGAAAGUGAUCAUGUGGAAGUUAAUCUUGACAAAAAUCCUUUUCUCAUUUCGGGUACGAAAGUGGCUGAUGGAUAUGCAAAGUUCGUGGUCACUUCUGUUGGCAUGAAUACAACAUGGGGAGAGAUGAUGAGUUCAAUUAGUCAGGAUUCUAGUGAAGAAACGCCCCUCCAAGCCCGGCUCAACAAACUCACCUCAUCAAUAGGUAAGAUUGGUUUAGCAGUAGCUUUUCUAGUACUUCUAGUCUUGUUGAUAAGGUUUUUUACUGGGAAUACUAAAGACGAUGAUGGAAAGACUGAGUUCAACGGAAGCAAGACUAAGGCUGAUGACGUGAUUAAUGGUGUUGUGGGGAUAAUUGCUGCUGCAGUCACCAUUGUAGUGGUCGCGAUACCUGAAGGAUUGCCCUUGGCAGUCACCCUUACACUUGCUUACUCCAUGAAAAGAAUGAUGGCUGAUCAGGCUAUGGUGAGGAAGUUAUCUGCUUGCGAGACUAUGGGCUCUGCCACAACUAUUUGUACUGAUAAAACAGGUACUCUCACAAUGAACCAAAUGAAGGUAACUAAGUUUUUCCUUGGACAUGACUCUAUGGGAGACAGGAGUUUUACUUCUAUUGCUUCUGGCAUCAUUGAAUUGUUUUACCAAGGAGUUGGUUUAAACACAACUGGGAGUGUGUACAAGCCUAAUGCAGGAUCCGAGUUGGAGUUUUCAGGUAGUCCUACUGAAAAGGCAAUUCUUUCCUGGGCAGUCAUGGAAUUAAAUAUGGAUAUGGAGGAACUGAAAAGGAGUACAAAACUUAUACAUGUGGAAGCAUUCAACUCAGAGAAGAAGAGAAGUGGAAUUCUAAUGAAGAAAAGUGGAGACAACACUAUGCAUGUGCAUUGGAAAGGAGCUGCAGAGAUGAUAAUAGCAAUGUGUACACACUAUUAUGAUUCACUUGGAAAUAUUAAAGUGAUAGAUGAUACUCAAAGGGAGAAAUUUGAUCUACUUGUUCAAGGAAUGGCUGCAAGUAGUCUCCGGUGCAUAGCAUUUGCACAUACACAAGUUUCUGAACAUGAAUGGUCUCACGGGAAUGGCAAACUAAAAGAAAACAGCUUGACCCUCUUGGGUCUAGUUGGUAUAAAGGAUCCGUGUCGACCUGGUGUGUGGAAAGCUGUCCAAGAUUGUCAACAUGCUGGCGUGCAUGUAAAGAUGAUUACCGGAGACAACGUUUUCACUGCCAAAGCAAUAGCCACUGAAUGCGGGAUACUGAAGAUUGACCAGGACAUGGAUGGAGCAGUGGUUGAGGGUGUGGAAUUUAGGAACUACACCCAAGAGGAGCGAAUGGAGAAAGUUGAUAAAAUUUGUGUGAUGGCAAGAUCGUCACCUUUUGACAAGCUUUUAAUGGUGCAAUGCCUCAAACAGAAGGGCCAUGUAGUUGCAGUAACGGGAGAUGGGACAAAUGAUGCACCUGCACUUAAGGAAGCCGAUAUUGGUCUUUCAAUGGGAAUCCAGGGCACUGAAGUCGCAAAGGAGAGCUCAGACAUCGUUAUAUUGGAUGAUAAUUUUGCCUCUGUGGCAACUGUUUUGAGAUGGGGAAGAUGUGUUUACAACAACAUCCAGAAAUUUAUUCAGUUCCAGUUAACAGUAAAUGUGGCUGCUCUUGUAAUCAACUUUGUGGCAGCUAUAUCAUCUGGAGAAGUUCCAUUAACAGCAGUCCAGUUACUUUGGGUGAAUCUCAUUAUGGACACGUUGGGCGCUCUGGCGCUUGCUACUGAACAACCAACCAAGGAGCUUAUGGACAAGCGCCCUGUGGGUCGUACAGAGCCUCUUAUAUCGAAUAUAAUGUGGAGGAACCUCAUAGCUCAAGCCUUGUAUCAGAUUGUAGUACUCUUGACAUUGCAAUUUGGAGGGGAAAAGAUUUUCAAUGUGAACGAAAAGGUAAAGGACACUUUGAUUUUCAACACCUUUGUGCUUUGUCAAGUAUUCAACGAGUUCAAUGCAAGGAAGCUAGAAAAGAAGAAUGUUUUCGAGGGGAUACACAAGAACAAGCUGUUUCUAGGAAUUAUUGGGAUCACAAUUGUUCUCCAAGUUGUGAUGGUAGAAUUUCUAAAGAAGUUUGCAGAUACAGAGAGAUUGAACUGGGGGCAAUGGGGAGCAUGUAUUGGUAUAGCUAUUCUAUCUUGGCCUAUCGGCUUCCUGGUAAAGUAUAUACCUGUCCCAGAAAAACCGUUCUUCAGCUUUCUGAAGGGAAGAACUUGAAGGACAUCUUCAUGGAAAACAUAUUAAGAUCUUGUUGAAGUUUGUUAAAGCUUGCUGUAUAUAUUUAUUUUUUAAAUAAAUUCCUUCGAGUCUUCUCUUAAUUAGGAUUUAGUAUAUCCAUAUUCUGUAAUUUACUUGCUGAUAUGAAACUUUUUUUGCAAUUACUUGGCAGCUCUAGAAACUCUUUAUAAUCAGUCUGACAGUACAAAUUUUGAUUUUCUUAAGCAAUUAAUUACUUGGAAGCAAUUAAUUUUUACUUGAACAAAUUUGGCAUGUUUGAUUAACUUUCAAUGUUUAGCAGGAAGCCAGGAACCAUCAAAUAGCUCAAAGGACAUGCAUGAAGCAUGAAAUUAUGAUGUGUAUAAAAUAUAGUAUAAGGUUUUUAAUGUCAUCAUUUGUGCAGAUUCCAGUACUGCAGUUACUUUGUUUUUAUGCCUACAGAGUUGGAAAAAAUUAUAAUUAUAGCACAUUGGUAACAUUUUACAAAAGCAAGAGAUUAGAGCUAGAUGAAGAUUGAAGAUAUAGAGUGGAACCUGAACAAGCGUCCAGUUUCCGAGUCACCUGAAAGAUAGUUCUGCAUUAUAGGACCACUAUGUUGUUGAAGUGAGGUGCAGUGUCCAUAGAACAACUAUUUGAGUACAUAUAUGUGUGUUCCGUAGGAGCCAUUAUCAGCUUCAUAAAGUUGCAGAAUCUGAUGAACAUCUGCAGAAGAUAAUAUGAUAUAUUAAAAUUUACUAGAUUAUCUAGUAAAUCCUCAUAACUUCUCUUUUAAUUUCACAAAAAUAUGAAACCAAUCCAAACAAAACGUACUGAGUGUAUCCACUCGUAGAAUGGGGUAUUAUAGUUUGGCAUCUGUGGCCAGUGGCCACUGUUUUAAGAUGGAAAUGAUGUGUUUACAACAACAUCCAGAAAUUUAUUCAGUUCCAGUUGACUAUAGUUGACUAGUUGUGGCAGCUCUUGUUAUCAACUUCGUGCCAGACCGGAAGCUAUAUCAUUAGGAGAGGACAUUGUCGGAAGGACAUGUAUGAAACACGACAUUAUGCAGUGUGGAAGAAACAGUAAGAAGUUUGUAAGAUCACCAUCUCGACUCACUCAGAUGCAUAUUCCAUGUUGUUAUGCCUUCAAUGUUUAUAUAUACAAAAAACUCCAGCAGAUAGAAAAUUGGUAGCACUCUCCGGCUUACAAACAUAUAUGAAACAACACUAUGUCAUCUGUAUGACACGGGGCAAAUCUCUUCUAAAUUAUCAUUACUCUGGCAUUCAUAUUUAUGCUAGAGUAGAGUACCUUUCUUGGCUGGAAUGCUGGAGUGAAGUUUUAUGAUACAUGAUUCUAAACAAAACAUACAAAGUAUAUCCGCUUAGCUUACAGCCUUACACACUUACCAGCAGUUCUAGAGCAGAGGGAUUGUUUAUGUUAACUCGUGACACUCACUUUAAUCAGGUUUCAUAGAACUAUGUUUCAGAAAUUUGUAUGGUGUAUAUGUAUGCUAUAGAGUGUUUAUACAGCCAUCAAUUUUCCCGUCGUUGGAUCAUUGAUCCAAUGGCUGGGAUUAAAAAUUCUAAUUCCACUAUCAGAACAAAAUUUUAGCCAAACUUCCUUGUAGCAAAAUUUUUGUGCUGGUAGGGGGAGCAUAUUUUUAAUUCCAGCCUUUGGAUCCCAACACAUAUUAUUUUACCAAUGGAUGUUUUAGUUUGCAUUAUAGAGUAUUUUAAACAUACACUCAACAAUUCAGUAUCUUCAUGUUCUGUACUUUAAUAUAUAUAGUCCUCCAUAGCAAAUUACAUGGCAGCUGUGGAGUACAGUAAUAAAAAGAGACUCUUAUUACAUAUAAUGUUUUCAGUCAUACAAAUAAAAUUAGUUCUUCUGAAUACAAUUUCACUCAGUUUCCAAAGAGACUCACACUCUCAUAGUGUUUUCAGCUUAAGCUAAACAACAGUCACCUGGUUGAGAACUGGCAUAGCAACUUAAGCCUUUGUGCUCCUCCAGGCUUUGUAAGUAGAUCAAUAGGCAAUUAGCACCAAAAAAAAAAAAAGUAGAUCAAUAGGCUGAUUAUAUGCAGAAACAUAGAGAGAUUUAUGAUAAAAUCGAAUCUAUGGAUCAUUAACGAAUCGAGGAUCGCAAACGAUGAUUCGAUUGAUGACGAAGAAAGAAUUUAGUUCAAUUAUCUAAGACAGAAAAAGAAUUUUUAUCGAUUGAUGAUAAAAAGAAUUUUUAUCGGUUGAGGACCAAUUCUAUAAAAAGAUGUCUUAGUCAAUUUAAUAAAAGAUGUCUUAAUGAAAAGAAAAGAGAAAAUUAAGAUAGAGUAAUUAAGAGUGCACUAUAAAUAAUUAUAAUAAUAACCUCAUUAGUAUGAUCUCAUUAUAGUUGUUAUGAUCAUUCGGCACAUAACCCAAAUUGAAAAACGAUCCAGAAAUGAAACGUACCUGGGGAAUUAGUUGGAUGAGAGCAGAGGAAAGUUCCCUCGUAUGAAAACUGAUGAGGUAGUGUGGAUAUCUUACUUAUAUGCAGGAGUGGUUUUGGAUUGGUUGAGUUAGCAAAGCUGCUGCUUUGUCUUUCAGCUUCAGGAAGUUCUGUAAAAUUAGCACACGAAAACACACAUAUUUUAUGGGUGAAAGAGCACAUAUUCACACUCUCCGACAUAAUUUCAUUUCUUUAUAACAUAUAAA
rnacentral:lncRNA from 1 species